rnacentral:rRNA from 1 species
GACGAACGCUGGCGGCGUGCUUAACACAUGCAAGUCGAGCGGAAAGGCCCUGCGUUUGCGGCGUGCUCGAGAGGGGAGCGGGGGAGUAACACGUGAGUAACCUGCCCUUGACAGAGGGGGAACAUCAGGGGACUGGGGCUAAAACCGGGGAGGAGCUACUGCAGCGCGGGGGGGGAUGGAAAGAGUCGGCGGUUGUGGAUGGACUCGAGGCUUAUGAGCUUGUUGGGGGGGUAGGGGCUGACAAGGGCUUCGACGGGUAGCCGGCCUGGGAGGGUGACCAGCCACCAUGGGCCUGCGAUACGGACCAGACUCCUAUGGGACGCAGCAGUCGGGAACAUUGCACAAUGGGCGGACGCCUGAUGCAGCGACGCUGCGUGCGGGAUGCCGUCUUUCGGGUUGUAAACCGCUGUCUCCUGAGACGAAGCGUUAGUGACGGUAACGGGUCAAGAAGCCCCGGCUAACUACGUG